rnacentral:rRNA from 1 species
AGAACGAACGCUGGCGGCAUGCCUAACACAUGCAAGUCGAACGAGACCUUCGGGUCUAGUGGCGCACGGGUGCGUAACGCGUGGGAAUCUGCCCUUGGGUACGGAAUAACAGUGAGAAAUUACUGCUAAUACCGUAUGAUGUCUUCGGACCAAAGAUUUAUCGCCCAGGGAUGAGCCCGCGUUGGAUUAGCUAGUUGGUGGGGUAAAGGCCUACCAAGGCGACGAUCCAUAGCUGGUCUGAGAGGAUGAUCAGCCACACUGGGACUGAGACACGGCCCAGACUCCUACGGGAGGCAGCAGUGGGGAAUAUUGGACAAUGGGCGAAAGCCUGAUCCAGCAAUGCCGCGUGAGUGAAGAAGGCCUUAGGGUUGUAAAGCUCUUUUACCCGGGAAGAUAAUGACUGUACCGGGAGAAUAAGCCCCGGCUAACUCCGCGCCAGCAGCCGC